GAAAAGAAUAUUAAUCACGAAUGACCAAACGGGUUAAUAGUUUUAGUAAAGGGAUUGGUAAUUGAGUUAAAAUAAAGGAAUUCAAGUGGAACUAAACAUAGGGAAUCAAUAAUUGCAAGUGAAACCAUGACCCUAGGUCUCUCUAUUUUGAAUCACAACUUUUACUUUUGUUCGUGUUCGUUGUUAUUUUCUAUUUAUGUUUUUAGUUAUAAAAAAACACCUCCACUAUUAGUCGGUCUAAAUAAUAAAUAAUCUUAAAUAGUUUGGUACUUGUUAAUUAAUCUCUGUGGAUACGAUAAUCUUUUAUACUACUUCUGCGCUAGAGUACACUUGCUCUAAGUGUGUUUUUAACGCAACAA
rnacentral:lncRNA from 1 species